CGGGCGGAAGAGCGACACGCAUGUCAGGUGGAGGACAACGUGACCGUGCCUUGAGCAUCUCUGCUGUCAUCCGUGGCUCCUGAAGGACACUUGGGCCGCCUUCCAACAUCAGCCCACUGGGAGAUUUCUUCAGAAUGCCACCCAGCAUUUUUCUCCAGAAACAUGAAGGAAGGCUGAGCAAACUUCACAUUAACAGUUCUGGAGACCCAAGCCCUCAUGCUCUGAAAAAUCUCGAAUCCUGGGCCUCAGUAGUACAUUUUUACUGAUGGCUUCAGGGGAUGGAGCUAGAAUGACAGGAGAAUCCACAAAACAGUA